CCUGAACAGCCAGGCUAUAAAUUGAACGCCGGAGGCAAAUGAGAAUAAUUAUUUCAACUCUUCAAGAUUCUAAGGCCACAGACCAUUGAAACAUAAAGAAGACUAUAUAUGGAAUCUAGGAAGAGGAAAGGAAUUUGGGACAACUAUUUAAGACUGCAAGAGAAGAGCCACAGCUUGAGCCAAGGAUUUUUUGGAAGUUUAUCCACAAGACCUCAGGAGCUAGAUUCCAAUCUUUCUGAUUCAAAGAAUCCCCAAACUCAAUGAGGACACGUUUUCCUCCCGAGAACAGCAGAAUGGUAACAAAGAACACAUGAAAAGAAAAUGCUUUCAAGGACCAAAGGAAUUCAUCUACAAAUAUGGAAUUUCCAGCAUGGAAGUCAGUGACAAAGCCCUGGCAUACCCCCAUCGCAGGUGUCGUGAGAACACCGUCCAGUGGGACGAGGCCAGCCCUGCCCUGAGAAGCUGAGAUUCCCACCCCACCUGGAGGGAGCUGAGCACCCUCACAGCAACUCUGAGCCCCUGACUCCAAAGGAGACUCUUCUCCUGUGGUAUCAGACGUAGAGGGCGGGCUCCCUUAAAGUAAAAUUCCACAACAGGGCAGUAGAAAGAUGCAAUGAAACAUAUACGAGUUAUUAAAUAUUGUCAUCAAGAUGAGUAAUAAAUCAGACAUUUUAUGGUUUCUGAUUAUAAAUUCCAUUUAUUCCAUAAGUGUUUAAAGAAAGAAAAAUGGAGACCCAACAGAGAUUUAAGCCUGCCCGAGAUGGGUAUAUUUCAUGAUUGCUUUGUGACUGCUGCAUCCUGGGUGGAAUAGGGGUGGGGGAGAUACAAAAGGGCCCUCUCAGGGCCAGGAAGAAUGAAUUGCUGGGUUUCUGCGGCUCUGUGAGUGCAUUCAUUGUCAUGUGAGACUCUUCCUAAGAAUUCUUUUGAAGUCAGGAAUUCUGGCCAGGUUCCUGGUGGACACACUCUUGAAGAUAGCCUACUCCUUCAAAUCCCAAAACCAACUUAAACAAGAGGCCAGGCGAGAAAAGCCAACGUGGGGAGACUCCAUAGGUCCUGGCAGGUGGCACUGAACAAUGCAGAUCCUUAACAGGAGGGAGGAGAUGAACUGUCCCAAAGAGUGGCUGCUGCAGAUCAGGGAGCUGGGCACAAUCCCAGCACAGCAAGUGUUCAUUCAGUAAAAAGUAUGCCUUGGGGCCUGGCGCAGUGCCUCACGCCUGCAAUCCCAGCACUUUGGGAGGCCGAGGUGGGUGGAUCACUUGAGGCAGGGAGUUCAAGACCAGCCUGGACAGCAUGGAGAAACCCCAUCUCUACUAAAAACACAAAAAUUACUUGGAUACGGUGGCUCAUGCCUGUAAUCCCAGUUACUUGGGAGGCUGUGGCACAAGAAUUGCUUGAACACAGGAGGCAGAGGUUGCAGUGAGCCAAGAUGGCACCACUGCUCUCCAGCCUGGGUGACAGAGUGAGACUCUGUCUCAAAAAAAAAAAAAAAAGUUAUGCUUUGUGUUCAUAAAACUAUGCCUUCUCCUCAUAUAGUACUUUACAGUUUACAGGUGUUAUUUCAUUACAUUUUGCACUACGGUUCUAGCAUAGCCAUUGUUAUUUUUAUUCACAGACAGAAAAAAAUGAGGUUGUCUCACUCAUAUAACCUGGCCUCUCUCAGCUCUGGUUGCUGUGGAGAGUAGCAUAAGUGAUAUCUCUUCAAUGGUGGUUCUACUGCACAAAGAGAAAACAAAACGUUGUCUUCUGGCCUUCCAAUGGCAGAAUUUGACCUGCUUUUGGCUUUGAAAUGCCUCAUAUGAUAUUCUUCUAGCAGAUUUGUCUAAUUAUAUUUUGCUUGGGCUAAGAUUAAAAUUAAUUGGUCUUUUCAUGAUCACACAUCAGGAGAGUAAUAGGACCAGGCACCUGAGACCAAGCCAGGGAUUAAAGAUUGGUUAUGGAUAAUCCACUAGCCAGAGAGUCUGAAUGUGGUGGGAGAUGAGUGGAGGAGACCCAGUGGGCCUCCGGCAGCUUGUUUAUCACUGGCAUCUUCAUCACAAGCUUUAUGUGACAGGAUUUCUCCUGAUGUGCCCACAGCUGCUGCCUCACUGCACGCACACAAGUGUGUGUACACAGGCACCCACACAGCUGGAGAAGCACACAUAUGCCUCCUUCUGCAACAUGCACACUGUUGAUUAGCCUCUGCGGAGUGCUGACUCUUGGAGAAAGACCAGAUAAAUCGCUUUGGAGAGGGAGAAAAGGAAAAAAAUAUGAUAAAGAAAAAAAAAUCUACUUUAUCCCCCUUCAAAUGCCACAAGAAAAUGUCACGGAAAUCGCUUUGCUGGAAAUAACAGAGAAGUUCAAAACAAAAUUGUUGAGUGUCACUCCUGGGCCCGACUCUCCCUUGCACUGGGCCCCUCCUCAGCCUGGGAGGCUCCUCGCUGCCUCUGCCACCACUCACCCUUCAGGAUGCCACUGCUGCAGCCUCCAGGAACUGAAAAACAGUUCUUGGAAAGCCUUCCACUAAAGGGAGUAAUCGAGAAUAAACAAAGGACAAAGACAUGAGUGGGAAAGAGCUCUUUCCCUGCCAGCUGGCCACUUCCAGCUCCAGGACAGUGUCCAUGAAGCCCACAGAAGGGAGACUCAUCAUCAUUUUCAAUGUCGUCAUUACCAAAAGCCUUUCUUAUGCGAUUCAUUGUGCAAGGCUGUGUACAGAAACUGUUGAAGGAUCCUUUUGCUUUCUUGUGACUUAAAAUCCAUGACAUUUCACAAUGCUACAAAAGGCGUCUCUGAUUUCCUUGGGUAUAGCUUUCUUUUUUCUUUUUAACUUUCUAUUCUUCGUCUAAUAUAACAGCACCACAGUGCACAACAGUGCUUGGCUGAAGGACAUGAAAACAUAAAUUUUCUGCAUUAUUAUAGAUUCAUCCA
rnacentral:lncRNA from 1 species